CUCUUCUCCUCACAGGUAACGCAACAUACUCUACUUAGCUGACCCACAACCAAGGAGGCUCUCAAAAAUGUACAUGAAUGAUGGUGGGAUGCAGGUGAAAGGAGGUGUUAAUGGAACCAUUGCAGUGUUUUUCAUGUGAUCCACCAUGCACAAAUCCAGGAUUAACUUCUUGUAUAUCAGGCUCAGUAUGCAUGACGACGACCAGGUUAGAUGGAAACACAGGUGCAGUAAUGAAGAGCUGCAGACC